rnacentral:rRNA from 1 species
GUCAAGUCAUCAUGGCCCUUACGUCCAGGGCUACAAACGUGCUACAAUGGUCAGUACAAAGGGCUGCGAACCCGCGAGGGGGAGCCAAUCCCAAAAAACUGGCCUCAGUACGGAUAGGAGUCUGCAACUCGACUCCUUGAAGUUGGAAUCGCUAGUAAUCGCUGAUCAGCAUGGCAGCGGUGAAUACGUUCCCGGGCCUU